UUAGUUUUCGACCUUAAAAUUAUUUUAUACUGUUAAAUCUUUUUUUUUUUUCUUAAAAUCUUUUAAAUCUCAAUUAAUAUUUAUUGAUAUCUCAAUUAUUUUAUAUUUAUUUUUCGAUUAACAUUUUAUAUAAUAUAUGUGUUUAUGCAUAUCACAAACAGUUUUAGAAAUUUAUUUUAAUUUCAAUUUUAAUGAAAAACAAGAAAAAAAAGAAGAAAUUAUUUUUAUUUUAGACUUAAAUGCUUUAUUAUUUAUAUUAAAUUUAUAUAAUUACUAUAAAAAUUUAUAAAUUCUUUUUUAUAUGUAUCAAGAAAUCUUAAUGUAUUCUAAAAAUGCUGUUUUAAUACAUUGUAUAUUAUUUCACUGCAAACUUUACCUUGAUAUUUUAGCUGAAAUUAUUUUAACUUUACCAAUAAAGUGCGCAGUUUCUCGAUUUAGCUUGAUGAUGAGAAAGCAUUCAAUUUUAUGAUUUGAUAUUUAACUAAUAAUAAAUUUUUCAGCAAAUUAAAAAAUAUAAGAACAAACUUACUUUUAUGUUAAUUAAAAAUAUUUGAACAUUUAUAAAAAAUUUGAUAUAAAUACUUUUUUUUUUUGAACAGUCAUUGAGUCACAUGAAUUACAUAAUAGCAGUAGAUUAUUAAUAGUUUUUGUGCUGGUUUCUUGACAAAUUACAAAGCAUGCCUUGUUUUAAAUUGUAUAAGAAUAGAUUAUAAAAAAAUGUAUCAGCUACUAUCUUUAAUUUAUUUAUUAAUUUAUUCCAUAUUUUAAGUCCACUAUAAAAAGAUCAAGUUUUUUCUGCCAUUGAUUUCUUAUGUUUGCAUUUAUUUUAUCAAAUACUAUAAAAUUCAUUUAAAAUUUGCAAACUUUUCAUUUAUUUUCAUUUGUAUUUCGUUUAUCAGAAAUUAGUCAAUUUCAAUUGUAUACAAAAAAUUUUUAAAUUUAAUUUAUUCAAAAAUGAAGUUUUAAAAAAAUACUUUUAAUUUUAUUUUUUAUACAUAGAAUUAUUUUUCGCUUGUAUUAUUCCUCUUGAGAUAUUUUAUAUUUAUAUUUUUGCUUAUUGAUUUAUAAAAAAUUGAAAUAUAGAAAAAUUCGUAAUAUAUAUAUGUUUAUGAAAUACUACGAAUGUUUAUAAUUUAGUUUAUUUUAUGCAAUAUUUGUCACUAAGACAAUUGAAUCAAUUUUGUUUGAAUAAUACCAAUUAUAAGAAAAGUAUUUUAUAAUAUCAAUAUAUUUAUUAUAUAUUUUGCAAUAUAUUUUGUAAUAUAUUUUGUAAUAUAAUGACCCAUGAUAACAAUACGAAAAUUUUAACAAGUUUUUAUUGAUCAUAAAUGUAAAAACAUACAAUAUAAGAAAGAAAAGAGAGUUUAUUUAAUAAAUUCAAUUUUAACGAAAAAUAUCUAAAAGAGAAUAGUCUAAAAAUUGAGAUCUCUUUUUGUCAUUUAAUUACAUAUUUUUUAAUUAAUUUUAUAAUGACAUAAUAUAAUAUUUAAAUAAACAAACAACAAACAUAAAAAUGUAAUUAAAAGGACCGAUAAAAAUUACUUAAUAAAAUUACUUAAAAAUAGUUUUUUUAUUAGAGGAAAAUUUUUUCUGACAAUUGAAGGUUUUGCAAAGAGUGUAUAUACAUAUAUGUAUAUAAUUAAAAUUCUUUCAAGGCUGUUACAAAUCGAGCAUGAUCGUCACAAAUGUUCAUAGUUAAAAUAUGUCUGUAUCCUAUUACCGGUGAUUUUACGAUGUAGCUCUGCGCUAAAUGUACAUUGGCGACCAAAAAUAACGAUUCGUUGACGUCAAGAGUCAGGAUACCAAACAUGCGAUGCUAAGGUAUUCAAGUUAUAUUUGCCAUAGAUCGUGAUUUCAUAAAAUUUUAUAUUAUAAUAAUGAUUUUAAUUUUAUUUUAUUUUAUUUUAUUUUAAUAAAUGCGGAUUUAUAUUUUAUCGAAUGGAAAAAAUAAUUAUACUAAUUAAAUUAAUAGAAUUAUCAUUGAGACUAGCGUUAGAUUAACAUGAAGGUUAUCAUUAGAGAUACCAUUAGAAUCAAGUAUCAAGUUAUUAUUAUUAUUAUAAGAAUUUCAAAAUCUUGAGAAUUUUGUAUAAGUCAAAAAUUAAACUUUAGCAAGUAUUUUAUUUAAAUUGCCAAAUAAAAAGCAAUUUAAAUUAAGAAUCAUUAAAUUGACAAAAAAAGAUCAUAUGUAAUUUAACAAGCUAGCAAGAGUAUCGUGUGAAAUCAUGUAUAAUCGAUACUAAUCGAAUAUGAGUAUGAGAAUAUGGGAAGUUUCGAUAUUAUCGAUUCGAGGUUGUCACGUAUAUUAUAUGUCAUGGUUGAUAGACACUAUAUACAGACUCAGAAACUCGUCACACGCAGACAAAUUAUACACUAUAAGAUCAGUUAGCUUGUAGUAACAGAAUAUAGAGGAGAGUCGAUCGUCAUACGUCGCAGUCGCAAUCUGAUUUCUGAUUCGUGCAGAUUAAUUGGAAGUUCUACUUAAUUAAUCUAUAUUAUUAAAUCGAAAGCUAUAAGAUAUAUGAAUAUAAAAAUUUGUUUUUAUUUUCAUUAACUUCUCUCUUGAAAAUUAAUAUCGUGUUCAAAUUCCUAAACACGAUUUCAAUCCAAAUUAGCAAACUUUUUUUUAAUUAGUUAUGCGGGAAAUAAGUAUUGUUUAUUCAUUAUAAACGGCAACAGUUCUUUGGAAUUUUCAAAUAAAAAGUGUGCGUGUUCUUUACGUACAAAUCGACUGAGGACGCUCUCUCAUCUAGUUCCACAAGCAGGCAACCAUAAAUGUUCCAUCGAAUCAUCGAGAGACUUGCGUUCGUGCCGGUGGUCCGCUAUUGGAAAAGAAAGUUAGUGUUCGUGAUUACAUGAGCAAUUGCUACAGCAAAAGGGAUAUGUACAGCAUUAAAAAAAUAUUCAAGUUAAAAAAUUGGUCCCUUUAACAUGACAAACUGAAUCCAAAACAAUAUUAACGCAAAAGAUAAUUCGAAAGAAGAAGAUUAAAAAUAGAAAUACAAUGAAUUAUAUAAUAUCAAUGCAAUACAAAAUCUUGAUGUUUAUUAUAAAAUUUACUAAAAAAAACAUCUACAAAAAUUAGUUUAUUCUUAAUCUUUAUUUUUAUAAUAAAUAUAUAUUAUAAAGUACAUAUAUUCUUUCUAAAGUUAGAAAUAUUUCAUAUAUUUUUCAUUAAAUAAUAAUUUAAUUACGCAAUUGGAAGUUUUAACAUAAUUCAUUUAUCGAUAAAUUAUUGCGAUAUGACAUAUAUAUAUAUAUAUAUAUAUAUAUAUAUGUAUGUAUAAUUAUCUCAAUUUUAAAUUAAUGAUUAAAAAUAAUUUAACUUGUGUUAAAAAAAGUAUUAAUUUAUUAUUAAAAAUGUUUUUUUUCUUUUAUUGUUUUAACUAUCAAUUUAUUGUUUUUUUAUUUAUUUUUAUCUUUUUACAAUGAUAGAAUAUACUAUGUAAAAAAAUUAUAUUGAUUAUAAAACUCAAUUUUACUUUUUUAUACUUCACGAAAAUAUCAUCUAUCUUUAAAUAAAUAAUGUUAAACAAAGAAUUCAUCCUGAAAACAUGAUAAAUAUAAAUAAUGUAAAUAUAAUAAGAUAAAUAUAAUAAUGUAAUUUAUUUCUUAUUGCAAGAUAUAUUUUAUAUAAUUAAUAAUUGAUCGAUUAUGAUUUGGUUAUUUUCUUUUUUAUGAUUACAAUAUUUUAUUAUUAUUUCUUUAUAAAGAAAUAAAAUAGUUGAAAUUAGUUAAAAUAUAAUAUGUUGCAUCUUAUCGAUAUGAAAAUUUAUUACCAUUAUUUUAUCCUACAAUUUUUUUCGUCAUUAUUCCCUAUAAUUUUUUCGAUUUUUGUGACAAAUAUGUUGUGUUUUUCUUUUUCUUAUAUUUUUUUUUAAUCAUUUUUCUUCAAAAUUUAAUUCGAUUGCUAUUUUAUAAUUUUAUAGAUAAUUUGUAAUAUUUAACACAUUUGAUAUUCAGUUAGUGACAUUUUAUAUAUAAUUAAUUACAUGUAUACGUAAAAAGCAAUAAAUAUUAAUUACUUUCGAA